UUUAGGGUUUGGUUAGGAUUUGAUUUAGGAUUUGGAUUAGGAUUUGAUUUAAGAUUUGAAUUAGAGUUUGGACUAGGGUUUGAUUAGGGUUUGAUUUAAGGUUUGGUUUAGGGUUUAGGAUUUGGAUUCAAGUUUAGGGUUGGAUUAGGAUUUGGAUUAGGGUUUGGAUUAGGAUUUAGGAUUUUUUUAGAAUUUGAUUUAGGAUUUGGUAUAGAGUUUAGGGUUUAGAAUAGGAUUUAAUUUAAGAUUUGUUUAGGAUUUGACUUAGGAUUUAGGAAUUAUUAGGAUUUAAGAUUUAAUUAGGUUUGGUCUAAAGUUGAGUGAAAUUCAAUAGGAUUUUAACUAGAAUUAAAUAAAGGUUAAAUUGACAUAU
rnacentral:lncRNA from 1 species